UUACGACCAUAUCGCGUUAAAACCAUCGGUUCUCGUAUGAUCACCGAAGUUAAGCAACUUCGAAGCUAGUCAGUACCUAGAUGGGUGACCGCUUGGGAAUGUCAUGUG